rnacentral:rRNA from 1 species
AGCGGUGGAGCAUGUGGUUUAAUUCGAUGCAACGCGAAGAACCUUACCUGGUCUUGACAUCCACAGAAGCUUGCAGAGAUGCGAGUGUGCCUUCGGGAACUGUGAGACAGGUGCUGCAUGGCUGUCGUCAGCUCGUGUUGUGAAAUGUUGGGUUAAGUCCCGCAACGAGCGCAACCCUUAUCCUUUGUUGCCAGCGGUCCGGUCGGGAACUCAAAGGAGACUGCCAGUGAUAAACUGGAGGAAGGUGGGGAUGACGUCAAGUCAUCAUGGCCCUUACGACCAGGGCUACACACGUGCUACAAUGGCGCAUACAAAGAGAAGCGACCUCGCGAGAGCAAGCGGACCUCAUAAAGUGCGUCGUAGUCCGGAUUGGAGUCUGCAACUCGACUCCAUGAAGUCGGAAUCGCUAGUAAUCGUGGAUCAGAAUGCCACGGUGAAUACGUUCCCGGGCCUUGUACACACCGCCCGU